UUUACUCAGAACCCUCCCUGUUCCACUCCAGUAGCAGCCAUGUUGCCUGUAGUCCUGUUACUGUUGGGAUCUGCUACCUGUAUCAGAGGUCAGGUUGUGCUCACACAGUCUCAGCAGGCAGUGAUGGGAACUCCAGGAGGAACUCUUAAACUGACUUGUGCCUGCAGUGGAGUUAAUCUGGGGGGCACAUACAUGAAUUGGAUCCGCCAAGCUCCAGGGAAAGGACUGGAAUGGCUCAUGUACUACUAUUCUGACAGUACCAAGAACACAGCCCAGACGGUCCAAGGCAGAUUCACUGCAUCCAAAGACAGCUCUAAUUUCUACCUGCAUAUGACCCAGCUGAAGACUGAGGACACUGCAGUCUAUUACUGUGCAAGAGGGUCACAGUGGUUAAACCAAUAG